UACGUAGGGUGCAGGCGUUAAUCGGAAUUACUGGGCGUAAAGCGUGCGUAGGCGGUUCGUUAAGUCAGCUGUGAAAGCCCCGGGCUCAACCUGGGAACUGCGGUUGAAACUGGCGAACUAGAAUCUGGCAGAGGGGGGUGGAAUUCCACGUGUAGCAGUGAAAUGCGUAGAGAUGUGGAGGAACACCGAUGGCGAAGGCAGCCCCCUGGGCUGAGAUUGACGCUCAGGCACGAAAGCGUGGGGAGCAAACAGG
rnacentral:rRNA from 1 species